UGGGCAAUGUGAUAAGUUUAUUUUGCAAUAGAAUAUAACACGGUGUAACGUUGAAUAUUUACCACAUUUACAUUAUUUAUUGAAAUGGAUUUUUUUUUCUUAAUUUGGAUACUCAGAUUGAGAACGUUCAUACACGAUAGUACUGAAUUGUUAUUAACACUUGGUGCUUUGAAGAUGGUUCCUUUGUGUUCAGAUGCGUCCUCGUGCAGUGUCUAUCUGCGAUAUAUUGUCUUCUCAUUCCUGAACACGCUUUCAUUCAAGUUCUAAUUUCAAUUACUCCAUUUACUUGUCUCAACAAAUCCUACUUGAUCAAAUCUUAAUCUGGUGUCGACUCUCUGAAAUCCUGUCUCAGAUCUAAUAAUUCUAAUAUUUUUCGUUAGUGUUCAAUUCCUUAACUAAUUUUGGUGGGUAUUUUCGCUUUUCACAUGUACAGUGGACUCAAUAUUUGAUAAACACAACAGCGGGUACCAUUACUCUUUUUAGCGUUGUAUUG